AUCAUCAUCACAUAUGAACAAUAAUAGAGGACACACUUUCAAUCACAAUACAAUAACACUUUAAAUAAGAUCACCUUGAGAUCACAUGAACACCUUUAUAUUCACAACAUGAUUGCCUUUACUUCAUUUGAUUCUCAUUCAAGUCCUUCACAUCACAUUCACAUAUAUGAUAUCAUGUCAACACUUCAAUUCCUCAUAUAAUGCCUCCAAGGCCAUAAACACAAUACAUUCAAUAAGUAAAC
rnacentral:lncRNA from 1 species